GCAAAGUUUUUGAUGGACAUUCCCUUUUGAAACAUUAUGUGAUCAGAGGAAUCAUGGAUUAUCGGUCAAUCUUGUCGUUGGAGGAUAGAUCUCAGCCAGAUGCUUUCAUAUUCGUUGUUGGUCGAGUAUGUGACCGGUGGCUUGGAAGGUGUGAAAAGUUUUGGAUGGAGACAAGAUACCAUGAGCACCCCUACUAUGACAUUGCCAGACGACCCCUAGAAAAG